rnacentral:rRNA from 1 species
AACAGGAUUAGAUACCCUGGUAGUCCACGCCGUAAACGAUGAGUGCUAGGUGUUGGGGGGCUACGCCCCUCAGUGCCGAAGGUAACCCAUUAAGCACUCCGCCUGGGGAGUACGGCCGCAAGGCUGAAACUCAAAGGAAUUGACGGGGGCCCGCACAAGCGGUGGAGCAUGUGGUUUAAUUCGAAGCAACGCGAAGAACCUUACCAGGGCUUGACAUCCCGCUGACCCCUCCAGAGAUGGAGGUUUCCUUCGGGACAGCGGUGACAGGUGGUGCAUGGUUGUCGUCAGCUCGUGUCGUGAGAUGUUGGGUUCAGUCCCGCAACGAGCGCAACCCUUGUCGUUAGUUGCCAGCAUUUCGGAUGGGCACUCUAACGAGACAGCCGGUGAAAGCCGGAGGAAGGUGGGGAUGACGUCAAAUCAUCAUGCCCCUUAUGUCCUGGGCUACACACGUGCUACAAUGGCUGGUACAAAGGGCUGCGAACCCGCGAGGGGGAGCCAAUCCCAAAAAGCCAGUCUCAGUUCGGAUCGCAGGCUGCAACUCGCCUGCGUGAAGCCGGAAUCGCUAGUAAUCGCGGAUCAGCAUGCCGCGGUGAAUAUGUUCCCGGGCCUUGUACACACCGCCCGUCACACCACGAGAGUUUGCAACACCCGAAGUCGGUGAGGCAACCUUUUAGGAGCCAGCCGCCGAAGGUGGGGCAGAUGAUUGGGGUGAAGUCGUAACAAGGUAACC